rnacentral:rRNA from 1 species
UGGGGAAUAUUGGACAAUGGGCGCAAGCCUGAUCCAGCCAUGCCGCGUGAGUGAUGAAGGCCCUAGGGUUGUAAAGCUCUUUCACCGGUGAAGAUAAUGACGGUAACCGGAGAAGAAGCCCCGGUUAACUUCGUGCCAGCAGCCGCGGUAAUACGAAGGGGGCUAGCGUUGUUCGGAUUUACUGGGCGUAAAGCGCACGUAGGCGGACUUUUAAGUCAGGGGUGAAAUCCCGGGGCUCAACCCCGGAACUGCCUUUGAUACUGGAAGUCUUGAGUAUGGUAGAGGUGAGUGGAAUUCCGAGUGUAGCGGUGAAAUGCGCAGAGAUAUGGAGGAACACCAGUGGCGAAGGCGACUUUCUGGUCUGUAACUGACGCUGAUGUGCGAAAGCGGGGGGAUCAAACAGG